AUCGCUUCUUGGCCUUUUGGCUAAGAUCAAGUGUAGUAUAAAUAAAAAGCAAAGUAAAAGAUUAUAGGAGGAGAUAUAUCUUUC
ensembl:snRNA U2 U2 spliceosomal RNA